rnacentral:miRNA from 1 species
GGUCGGGACCUGUGUCAGUAUUGU